UAAGACGAAGGUGGCAAGCGUUGUUCGGUAUCACUGGGCUUGAAGCGUGUGUAGGCGGAAAAGUAAGCGUUUCGUGAAAUCCCCCGGCUUAACCGGGGAACUGCGCAGCGAACUGUUUUUCUUGAGGCAAGUAGGGGUGCAUGGAACUCUUGGUGGAGCGGUGGAAUGCGUAGAUAUCAAGAGGAACGCCAGUGGAGAAAUCGGUGCACUGGGCUUGUCCUGACGCUGAGACACGAAAGCGUGGGGAGCGAACGGGAUUAGAUACCCCGGUAGUCCACGCCGUAAACGAUACCUACUAGGUUGUGGAAGUUCUGACACUUGCACAGCCGAAGCUAAAGUGCUAAGUAGACCGCCUGGGGAGUACGGCCGCAAGGCUA
rnacentral:rRNA from 1 species